AUUUUAGUGGGGGGAGCAUUUAAAAGUUUGAGAAUAGUAUAUAAAAGUAUAUGAAUAGUCAAUUAAGUUUAACAUUUUAUCAUUUUUAAAAUUUAGGUAAAAAUUACAUAGAAGUCAGAUUUCAAGUGUACAAUUCAUUUGACAAAAGUGUACAACCGUAUAACUACCGCCGAAGAUAUAGAACAUUCAAGAUAUGGAACAUUCCAGAAAAUUCCCUU
rnacentral:lncRNA from 1 species